rnacentral:rRNA from 1 species
AUUGAACGCUGGCGGCAUGCCUUACACAUGCAAGUCGAACGGCAGAACGGGUGCUUGCACCUGGUGGCGAGUGGCGAACGGGUGAGUAAUACAUCGGAACAUGUCCUGUAGUGGGGGAUAGCCCGGCGAAAGCCGGAUUAAUACCGCAUACGAUCUACGGAUGAAAGCGGGGGACCUUCGGGCCUCGCGCUAUAGGGUUGGCCGAUGGCUGAUUAGCUAGUUGGUGGGGUACAGGCCUACCAAGGCGACGAUCAGUAGCUGGUCUGAGAGGACGACCAGCCACACUGGGACUGAGACACGGCCCAGACUCCUACGGGAGGCAGCAGUGGGGAAUUUUGGACAAUGGGCGAAAGCCUGAUCCAGCAAUGCCGCGUGUGUGAAGAAGGCCUUCGGGUUGUAAAGCACUUUUGUCCGGAAAGAAAUCCUUGGCCCUAAUACGGUCGGGGGAUGACGGUACCGGAAGAAUAAGCACCGGCUAACUACGUG